AUCUUGGGAGGAAUUAUGGAGGUCGUAGACAGUGUAAACUCAUUAGUUCAGAAUGGGGUUCAAACUUUUACCUAUAUCAGAACCAUCUCAAGUUUUUGGAGACUAUAUGUAGGUUCAACAAUGAAUCAUGACAAAAUAAUUAGAGAUCCUAUUUAACUAUGUUUUAACAAUGACAAUGGUCCUACAGUUUAACCGUGACAAAUUUUAGGUCUUGUGCGAUAACCCGUCUUACAUGCCCUCAAAGACAUUCCUGACCCAUAUGAUGAAGUUUUAGAUACGAUGCUUCAUAAGCUUUAUCAUAAUGAACAUGCUCCUCAUAAUACAGAGUUCUAGAUCCUCUGGAUGAACUUAGAAAGGAAUGUGCUGAGUUGAUGGCUAAUCGGAUAACUCGCUUUGAUCUCCCAGGACGGCGCUUGGGUGGUUAUUCUACUCAACCUCCACUCUCAUCUCUGCGUAAAACUGCACUUUCUGCUGCAGAAAAGAGACCGUGGUUGGGAUAUCGUAUUGGUGGUGAUUGGCUUAUAAUGACGACACUUACUCCAAGACAAGCUGCUGCGAUGGCCGCAGAAAGGAGAUUACAGGAUGACUAAUGGUGUCGUUCUCAAUCUUCAUAUCAUGCAGCUGAAAACCAUGUAAAAAAGAAGAUAAUCCUGGGAAGCUCAAAACCCUCUGAAAAUCCUAUUCUUGCUUUGGAUCCGACAUCUCGAAAAAGAAGUCGGGACAAGGAUUCAAGUUUAUCACUUUAUUCACCUAGUAACCCUAAAUUUGUUGAUUUGACAAUGGAUACACCAAGUACAUCUGGGCCACUAUCUGGUGAUAAUAGAAAACUUCAUUAUGAAGAAACUGCAACCUGGCAGUGUUUGUCGUGCACUCUGUUAAACAAAUCACUAGCCCCUAUAUGUGACUUGUGCGGCACGGAACAGCCAAAAGUUGUUACUACCAAGCACAACACUUGGUCUUGUAAAUUCUGUAUGAUGGAAAACAGGGAAAAGUUCGAAAGAUGCUCAGCGUGUGACGAGUGGAGAUACUCUGAUGGCCCCAACCUUGGCCCUGACAGAACCAUGUAAUUUGCAAAGAGAUUUCCAAUGUGAGUUAUUUGUUGGGCACUUAAAAAUCCAUGUGUUAAAUUAGCAACUGUUUUAUAUAUUUUCCCUCAUUUGAACUCAUGUAGUCGACAGGUUGAGUUGUUACUUUUAUAAAGAACGACCGCGUAGGAAUAAAAAGUAGUUUUCUAUCUUCAAUCAA